CAUGGGUACAUGAAGGACUCAAAGUGGAAAAGAAAAACGGAAGUGCAAAGAUAAGGUUAGAGUACUGUGGUGGUGUGCCAGAAUAAACAACGAGUGACCGGCCAGUGAAAAUAAUCAAAGACACCUCCGAUCAAAUAGCGAAGUAAUAUCCCGCUUUCGGAAGGUAUUCCUGAGUCAAAGGUGAUUGGAUCCUAGGACAAGGUGCUCCUUCCUAUCCAUUGCUUGGUAGGUUUACCAUGACAUUAAAUGUUAGCAACCAUGCCCAUAGUCACUCUGCUGAUGGUUAAGUUUUAAUUAUGUGUAUAUGACUACUUGUUGUGAAAUGCUGAGAUUCACUAGUCAAAUUAUAUGUAUGUAUAUAAUGGUUGAUGGUGCCAUUAUGAAUACAU